rnacentral:misc_RNA from 1 species
GUAGGUGAACCUGCGGAAGGAUCAUUAACACGUACCCACGUUUAUCACCCGCGAAUAUCUUAGGUAAGCUUAUUUGAAUAAAGCCUUUGACGCACCUUUAACAGAUAUGUUCGCAUGUCUGUCGAGGGAGUGUUGAAAGCCCGGCCCUCGAAUAAUUUAUUAUUUGUGUGGCCAUUGAAUUCGCUUCCUUUGAAACACACACUUUAAUCAACUCUCUUCGGAUUGUUUUUUAAGGUGUUUGUCUUUAGAGGACUUCCUUUCGGGGAGGACCUCUAAGGAUUAAGAAACCCCUUUUUUUCUAAACUAAAAGCCGUCUCUUUGUAGACCGCUUUUAACCGAAUGCUGUACAACUCUUAGCAACGGAUAUCUUGGUUCUG